rnacentral:SRP_RNA from 1 species
GCUGGGCGUGGUGGCACACGCCUGUAAUCCCAGCUACUCGGGAGGCUGAGGCAGGAGAAUCCCUUGAACCCAGGAGGCGGAGGUUGUAGUGAACUGAGAUUGUGCCACUGCACUACAUCCUGGGUGACAGAGCAAGACUCCAUCUCAAAAAAAAAAAAGAAAAAGAGAGAUAGUCUCAUCUUGUCACCCAGGCUGGAAUGCAGUGGCAUAAUCUCGGCUCACUGCAAUGUCCGCCUCCUGGGUUCAAGCGAUUCUCCUGCCUCAG